rnacentral:rRNA from 1 species
AUGGACAGGCUUAUCUCUUCGCCGCUCCACCUCACCCGCGCGCCCGCCUCCUCCUCCGCCUCCAGGCCCCGCGCCGGCGGCCACCACCACCUCCUCCCCGCCACCGCCGCGCCAAGGUCCUUCGCGCCCCUCCACGGACUCAGGCUGCAUCCUCUGGCGCCGCUCCUCCCCAGGCCGCCCCCGUCCCUCCUCGCCGCGGCCUCCGCCUUCUCCCGCGCCGACGCCGUCAAUCCCGCGCCACCGGAACCAGAUGACGAGGCCGCCGACGCCUCUGCGCAGGCUCCGGCCACCGGAGUCACCCGCUUCUUCCAGAAGGCCGGGAAUAAUCCACAGGUCGCCUUGGUGGCGGCGCUGGUGGUGGCGGCAGUCGGGCCGUCGUCCAUGGUGCCGCCGGCGCUGGCCUCGGCGCUGCACAACCACUCCCACUCGGCGGCCGUCACGGCGGGCCGGAGCAUCUUCAAGUCGGAGCUGCUGGGCAGCGCGUGGACGGGGUUCCUGGCCGGCUGCCUGCACACGCUCUCGGGCCCGGACCACCUGGCCGCGCUGGCGCCGCUCUCCAUCGGGCGGUCGCCGGUGGAGAGCGCGGCGGUGGGCGCGCUCUGGGGCUGCGGCCACGACGCCGGCCAGGUCAUGUUCGGCCUGCUCUUCCUCGGCCUCAAGGACCGGCUCCACAUCGAGGUGCUCCGCACCUGGGGCACCCGCGUCGUCGGCCUCACCCUGCUCGUCAUCGGCGCCAUCGGCAUCCGGGAGGCGACGCAGGCGGCGCCCUGCGUGGCCGCCGCGCUGGAGGGCGGCACCAGCGCGCACCAGCACGGCGGCAACAACAGCGACGCGCUGGAGAAGGCGCUGCUGGGCGCCGGCGGCAAGAAGAAGGAGAUCAGCUUCGCGACGUUCGCGACGGGGAUCGUGCACGGGCUGCAGCCGGACGCGCUCAUGAUCAUCCUGCCGGCGCUGGCCAUGCCGUCGCGCGCCGCGGGGGGCGCCUUCCUCGGCAUGUUCCUCGUGGGCACCGUGCUGUCCAUGGCCAGCUACACCGUGCUCAUCGGCACCUGCACCGAGGCGCUCAAGGAGAGGGUGCCCCGGAUCACAGAGAAGCUCACCUGGGCGGCCUCCCUCGUCGCCAUCUCCAUGGGGGUCGCCAUCAUCGUCAGCGAGUCCUUCGGGGUGAGCUUGUACUGA